rnacentral:rRNA from 1 species
CCGAUAGUAAACAAGUACCGUGAGGGAAAGUUGAAAAGAACUCUGAAUAGAGAGUUAAAUAGUACGUGAAACUGCUUAGAGGUUAAGCCCGAUGAACCUGAAUAUCCAUUAUAGAAAAUUCAUCAUUAUGAUUUUAAUAUGUACAAUAUUAUAAUAAUGGUGUGCAUUUUUUCUAUAAAGGACAUUGUAAUCUAUUAACAUAAAAUAUAUUUAUCAUAAGAUCAAUGAUGCGUAAGUUUAUUCAAAUUAUUUUGCUUGCAAUUUAACAUAGAAUAAAUGCUCUUGAUUUGAUAAAGUGUUGAUAGAUUUAUUGUAUAUAGUGCUUAAAUAUAAUUGGUAUUUUAUAAUAGCAUAUUAAUCAUUGAUUUUUAUGUUUAUUAUAUGCACUUAUAUGAUUAACAAUGCGAAAGAUUCAGGAUACCUUCGGGACCCGUCUUGAAACACGGACCAAGGAGUCUAACAUAUUUGCAAGUUAUUGGGUAUCAAAACCUAAUAGCGAAAUUAACAUAACUUUUUUUAUGGGAUUAGUUUUUAGAUUAUUUAUAGUCUAUUAAUUCAAUCCCGGGGCGUUCUAUAUAGUUAUGUAUAAUAAUAUUUAUAUUAUUUAUACCUCUAACUAGAGCGUACCUUGAGCAUAUAUGCUGUGACCCGAAAGAUGGUGAACUAUACUUGAUCAGGUUGAAGUCAGGGGAAACCCUG